rnacentral:misc_RNA from 1 species
AAGUCGUAACAAGGUUUCCGUAGGUGAACCUGCGGAAGGAUCAUUAACACGUAUCCACGUACCACCACGCGCACUGUUUUUUACCGCCCUGUCCAUUACCCGAGUGAGGAAGGUGAUUUCGAGAGAUUGAAUGGGGAUCGUCCGCGAUCCGCUCUCGGCUCAUAUAUUAUACCACUUUAGUGAUGUCCAGGCAAACUCUAUUGCUCUCAUGUCCAUUCAAGAUGGGGGCAAUAGAACUCAUAACAACCAUUUUCACCCCUUUUUUGCUAGUUGGUUUAUUCUGUUGUACUCUUUUGUGCUUCAUCUGCAUCGAAGAUACACACGUUUAAUUUAUUUGAACGUAAAAUUACAACUCUUAGCAAUGGAUAUCUAGGUUCUC